GUGUCCUGCUUUCCAGUGAUGAACUCUUCAGAACUUCCCCUGGAUCCUAACCUUCAGACCAGUAACCUGCUCAUCACCUUCCUCAAGUACUCCUCCAUCGUCAUGCAGGACACCAAAGAUGAACACAGACUCAACAGUGCUAGACUCUGUCUCAUCAUCCUCACCUGUAUAACUGAGGACCAGUAUGCUGAUGCCUUUCUCUCUGUC